AAAGGAAUAGACGGGGGCCCGCACAAGCGGUGGAUUAUGUGGUUUAAUUCGAAGCAACGCGAAGAACCUUACCUGGGUUUGAAAUCCUGCGAAUUUGUCAGAAAAGAUGAAGUGCCCGCAAGGGAACGCAGAGACAGGCGCUGCAUGGCUGUCGUCAGCUCGUGUCGUGAGAUGUUGGGUUAAGUCUCGCAACGAGCGCAACCCCUAUUUUUAGUUGCCAGCAUUAAGUUGGGCACUCUAGAAAGACUGCCUGGGUUAACCAGGAGGAAGGUGGGGAUGACGUCAAGUCCUCAUGGCCCUUAUGUCCAGGGCUACACACGUAAUACAAUGGUCGGUACAAAGGGAUGCGAACUCGCGAGGGGGAGCAAAUCUCAAAAAACCGAUCUCAGUCCGGAUUGAAGUCUGCAACUCGACUUCAUGAAGUUGGAAUCGCUAGUAAUCGCGGAUCAGCACGCCGCGGUGAAUACGUUCCCGGGCCUUGUACACACCGCCCGU
rnacentral:rRNA from 1 species